UGGCACUGCUUCACUUAGAGUGGAAUAUAAUUAUAUCCUUAAACAAAAAACAGCAUUUGAACCAAAUUGAAUCAAAACUAAUUUUUAAGUUUAAAUUAAUUGAUGGGAAAAGAAAUCUCUUCUAAAAUGAAAAACAGAAAACAGAUAUGAAAGAAAGUCUUUCCUGGGAGAACCUACCAGAGACCUGUAGAUUGACUUAUUCUUUUCUUCCAGGCUAGGGCUUGGAAAUUUGGACAUUCUCUCAGGUUAUCUGCCUACAUUUUCAUUGUGGAGAUCGAGUGAAAUGACGUAUGAGACUGUGCCUUGUACGCUGUACUGUUCUAUGCCAAAAUAAGAAACUCAUCAUGACCUACAAAGUCAUUUCCUCCAAAAGAGGUGUUGAUCCCAAGAGCAUUCAUCAAGCUCCUUCUCAGGAUCUGCAUCCAGGGAUCCCAACCCGUGACAGUAGGUACAAAGACUGGUCCACAAGCACAGCACUGAGAUGGGAUUUUGGAGCUGACCACCAUCUCCUGGCUGCCAGUGAGGAUGCUGUCCCUGGUAGGUGGACAUAAGAGGGAAACAGUAAUCAUAAGGACAGUGAAUUACCUGGCUGUUAAGCUUUACAGACGCCCUGGCGAAGGGUAGCAAAAAGCUGAGAUAAAUCAGCAGUUAAAUGCUGAGUGAGAAGGCCAGAGGGCCUCCCUAGAAACACACCAUGAGGCUCUCAUCUCUUAAAAUGGGAAGGGCUCAAAAAGAGGACCAAGGACAGGAUUUAAUUGUAAGAGUAGUUGAGGCAGGUCUGCUAUGCUAAGAUUGGGCAGUUGGGCCCCUGACACAAGGGAUAGGUACAUCUGUGUCGACGUCCCUCUAAGGAUUUUAUAUCUCCAGAUUACCCUGAGUCCUCUGCACAAAUGGUCCACUCCUCUGCUCUGUUAAGGGCUAGACACACACACACACACACACACUGUGCGCAUGCACACACACACACACACACAACACACACACACACUGAAUUUAGUACAGAGACCUCUUCUCUGCAAGAUGCUAUGCACUUUAUUCAGGACAUCUCUUGUAUACCCUCCUGACCACCAAAUCAGUUACGGGGGUUAAGUCACAGAAUAGCUCUGCCAAGGACCUGCUGGGACUACUGAGGGAGGAGAUGAACUAUCUUCCUUGAGUCCAAUUUCAACACGAGCCACUGGGACAGUAUGCCUGGGACUGGAUUCUGAGGGUGCCUGACAAAGGUGAGUGGAAGAUAAAUUUGGAUACAACAGAAUUUACCAACAUGAGAGCAUUCUCCCAUGAUACAGGUUGUAAUAAUACCUUCCAAGGAUCUGAGAGAGGGUGUGAGCAUGUUGCAGGAUGGCUCCUACAAGCAGGGAAGAAGCAAUGACCCAUAUUAAGUGAGGUAGGAAUGAUGGAAUUGCCAUGACAGUAUUACACAAUGAAGAAAGGAAAGAAGGCAUUUGGCACCCCUUCUUCCUUGCGAUUUGAUAGUAAAUGACAUGUGCAGCAAUCUCAGUCUAUUUUUAUUAUUGCUACAUCGCUCUGGAGGUCUCCAAAUCAAUCAAGACAAUGCAAAUUAGUGCCAGGAAUAAUACUCCAACAAUGUCCAACAGGGACCCAGCAGUGCAGACACACCAAGAGACUUUCGGGCCAUUGAUGGUUCUGCUGGACCCAAGUAGUUAGAGCUCCUGGAGUGCCCUCCCCUCCCACCACCUCAUCCCCAACCAGAACAAUAUCCCUGUACUUGACCUCAUGGUCCAGAUUUGUGGCUCUGACUUAUGAGAGCCCAUUAUGCAGGGCAGUCCCUGGAUAUUUGCAUCUGUGAGAUGGGACCUUUAUAAUUUCCAAGGACAAAGUGGAGCAAGAGGAACAAAAGGAGACAGCUCUCUGUACCUUGUGUGAUAAUCAAUUUCAGGAGAACUAUUCUCUGAUAACAAGAAGUAAUUUUUGCUUAGGAAGCAAUCUCUGAGCUUUCAUUUUUCUGGCCUCAAUCUAUAUUACCUAUUGAUUUGCAGGCUCCAGCAUAUCAGCUAUUUUACGUGAAUUCUGUUCUAUUUUAAAAAUCAGCAAUAUAGUUUGGAUACUGGUUGGGCAUCACUUGUGUAUAUGAGCAUUGUAUCUGGGAAUGCAGAGCUGAGAAUGCUUGCUUUUAGAUUAGCCAAGUGACCUCAACCCACAUGGAAAUUAUUCCCUGGUCAUUUAUUCUUAAACUCUAUGGCCUUCUAUCAUUCUGAUUUCCCAUAGGUAUGAUAGACAUUGAUUUUGGUUACAAUUUAAGGAGAAUUAGGAAAGCUCCCUCAUUUCUUCUUAUACUUGCUGACUUCCUAGAAAUAUUCUUCCAAACAAUGCUAUAAAUACCACUCCAAUCAAUCUAUCAAUCAAUCACUGCCAUAGUUUUUGAAUGGAGCCCAAAAUAGUCCCUCUAUAUUAAUGCAGUGCCACCUUAGUGCAAGGUCCAAGAUGUAAGGCUAGGGAGCCUGCUGUGAGGACUGAAACCAAUCUCCAAUACCAUCGUACAGGAAUCUGAACUAUCACAGGAGUGUGUUACCAGGUUUUGUUGGCCAUUUAACAAUCUGGUCCUUCGGGUCACACACCGAACUCUUCUCUAUGUUUCUCAUUUAUUACAUAGGAACCUAUCAGAUUCUCUCUUUACUCCUUGUCAAGAGUGGAUACCAUUGCUAUAACAGGGAGCAGGAAGACCAUGAAAAAGAAAACAAGUGGAGAGGAAAGGGAAUGGCCUCCACAAAUAGGGAUUCACACCAGUUGUGGGCUGAAACAGUUUGCUAAAAUAAAAGACCAAUAGGGUGAUAGAAAGAGCCUUGA
rnacentral:lncRNA from 1 species